rnacentral:precursor_RNA from 14 species
UACCUGGGUUCCUUGCUGCCAGCACUAGGGUGAGGUAGUAAGUUGUAUCGUUGGGGGGUCGGGAUUGGAGCCCCGGUGUCGAGGUAACUAUACAACUUACUACUUUCCCUGGUGCUGGCCCUUACUGCAGGGAGCAGG